GCCUUGGAUUCAGAGCAUCCCCUGGAAUAAAAAGAAAACUCAAGUUCGAACAUUUAACUUUGAGAGAUCAAAUCCUACAGAAAGACUACCUAGUUCAAAAACACUGAGACAGAGGACCAAUACCAGAUCUGAGAUGCAAGUGUGGCAUAACAUUUGUGAACACCAGAAGCUGAAGCAUGGAUAAAUGGAGCCUUGCUAUUCAGACCAACAGCAUCAGCUUCACCUGGGGAAUACUUAAAUUCUUAGGUGAUUUGUAUGCAUAUUAGAGUUUGAGAAGUGCUUAAAGUUAAAGAACUGGUGUUUAAGGAAAAGAACGUGAAUCCAAAGAUGAAGAUAGACCUGAGAAGCAAUGGACUGAGAUACCCAUCCUGUAUUAAACAGAAGGAGAACAGAGGCACUGUGAUGUUUACACUGGGCGAGGACAGUGGAAGAUAACUUAGAUGUUUAGGAUUUAAAAAUAAAUAUCUACAGCAUAUUCCGAAAACUUAGAGUUAAAUGGAGGAAAGGAUCACGGUGGAAACUGGAGAGUACAAUAAGGUAUUACGCAAACAUUCUUACAACUGGCCACAGCAGUAUGCUAUGGAGGAGCCAGAGAAAGGGGGCGGGCGGAGAGAGCUGGCAUUGCUGAGACUGUCUCCUUUGGGUCAAUGAUAUUGGUGAAAUUGUGCCAUAGUUAUAAUGACAUAAAUGAAAGGUAAAUAAAAUCAUAGACUGUUAAAGGUCAAAA